AAUGAACGCUGGCGGCAGGCCUAACACAUGCAAGUCGAGCGGAUGAAGGGAGCUUGCUCCUGGAUUCAGCGGCGGACGGGUGAGUAAUGCCUAUGAAUCUGGCUGGAAGUGGGGGAUAACGUGCGGAAACGGGCGCUAAUACCGCAUACGACCAGAUGUAGAAAGUGGGGGGUCUUCGGACCUCACGCUAUCAGAUGAGCCUAGGACGGAUUAGCUAGUUGGUGGGGUAAAGGCCUAACGAGGCGACGAUCCGAAACUGGUCUGAGAGGAUGGUCAGACACCCUGGCACUGAGACACGGUCCAGACUCCUACGCGAGGAAGCAGUGGGGACUCCUACGCGAAGGGCCAAAGGGUGAUCCAGGCCUGCCGCGUGUGUGAUGAAGGUCUUCGGACUGUAAAGCGAUUUAAGUCGGGGGGAAGGAAAGUAAGUUUACCCCUGACUGUUUUGACGUUACCAACAGAAUAAGCACCGGCUAACUCCGUG
rnacentral:rRNA from 1 species